AAGGGAGACCUAAUUCAGGUAGGAGACGAAAAAAAAGUAGUCCCAACCAAGAAUCAAUCCCAAAAGGUCGGAGCGAGGCGAAAUUGGCUUUCAAACUAGGUUCUGGGUUCACACAAGACCUGAAUCAGGAACAAGGGCUAUUAGCUCAGGUGGUUAGAGCGCACCCCUGAUAAGGGUGAGGUCCCUGGUUCGAGUCCAGGAUGGCCCACCUGCACAGGUGGCAAAAACAAGAGAAGCUCCGAAUCAGCACCUUAUCUUAUAUACAUAUAUAAGAGAGAAUGCUGGCUCUGAGUACAGAGUCCAGAGGAACCUUGAAAACUGCAUAGAGCUAGGUGAAAAAGCCAAAAAAGAAGACCGCAA
rnacentral:tRNA from 1 species